rnacentral:rRNA from 1 species
UACGGAUGGGGCAAGCGUUGUCCGGAAUCAUUGGGCGUAAAGAGCGUGUAGGCGGCCCGAUAAGUCCGCCGUGAAAGUCCAGGGCUCAACCCUGGAAUGCCGGUGGAAACUGUCGGGCUGGAGUCCGGAAGAGGCGAGUGGAACUCCUGGUGUAGCGGUGAAAUGCGCAGAUAUCAGGAGGAACACCAAUGGCGAAGGCAGCUCGCUGGGACGGUACUGACGCUGAGACGCGAAAGCGUGGGGAGCAAACAGG